rnacentral:tRNA from 1 species
GAGGGUACAGCUCAGUGGUAGAGCAUGUGCUCAGCAUGCAUGAGGUCCUGGGUUCAAUCCCCAGUACCUCCA